rnacentral:rRNA from 1 species
GGAAUAUUGCACAAUGGGGGAAACCCUGAUGCAGCGACGCCGCGUGAAGGAAGAAGUAUUUCGGUAUGUAAACUUCUAUCAGCAGGGAAGAAAAUGACGGUACCUGACUAAGAAGCCCCGGCUAACUACGUGCCAGCAGCCGCGGUAAUACGUAGGGGGCAAGCGUUAUCCGGAUUUACUGGGUGUAAAGGGAGCGUAGGCGGUUUAGCAAGUCAGAAGUGAAAGCCCGGGGCUCAACCCCGGGACUGCAUUUGGAACUGCGUGGCUUGAGUGUCGGAGAGGCAGGCGGAAUUCCUAGUGUAGCGGUGAAAUGCGUAGAUAUUAGGAGGAACACCAGUGGCGAAGGCGGCCUGCUGGACGAUGACUGACGUUGAGGCUCGAAAGCGUGGGGAGCAAACAG